rnacentral:lncRNA from 1 species
CGCCGAAGGUGCCGCCGAACCUGCCCGAGUUUCGUCUCUGGAAGGGACUUUCGGCCGCCGAAAGUGCCCUGUCCAGCCUUUUCUUGGGUGUUUUCUAUGCAUGUUUAAGUGAUGUUUAGAGGGGUUUUUGGGGGUAUGUUUAUGAGUUGUUAGAAUGUGUUUGGCACCUCAUUCGAGUCCACCUGUGUAGGAUCGGACCCGAGAGACCGAGGAGGCCAUCAGUGCUAGUUGUUGCAGAGUCAGUUGGCGUCUGCCAGGAGGUGAGUAGAACUAAACUUAAUCUUUUAUGUAAGAAAUCUAAUGCCAAAGCAUGUUCAUGCAUCAUGAUUAUAUGUAGUAGGUUGUUUGCACUAGUUCACGAAUAUGACGCAUUGCAUUAUUUCAUGUUGAUGAUGAGGAAGGGUGGACCAAGGCGACUCCAAUAGCCCAUAUCUGUCAUUGAGUCUUGGGUAAGUCCUUUGAGAGCCGGACAAGUACAUGUAGGAAAGUCCUUAUGAGCUCUCUGUGGACUAGGUACCCUGUCAUGUAUGUUAUAGGCCUGUGUGAGCUCCUAUGGGGGAGCCGGGCACCGACAGAGGGAUUUUUGGGGUCAUGUCUAUCCUCUGAGAGGAAGGAUGCUAGCGCUUACGAGGACUCUCAGAAAACAGUCCGUGGGGAUAAGAUGCAUGUAUGAGGCCCGAGACGGAUACAGUUAUGUGAUUACUUGUGAUGUGACGCAUUCCAUGAAAGCAUGUAAUUAAUGAACUGUUUUCCAUGUUUCUACUCACUGGGCUUUUUAGCUCACCCCGUUCCCCUAACCCCAGUGUUGCAGGUUGAGGUCGAGUUCAGAAGUCUUCAGGGUA